UACUAGCCCCGAUAGAGCCGAUAUCCUCGUAGCGUAGCGAAGAGAUAAAGGCGAAAGCGGGAGGGAUC
rnacentral:misc_RNA from 1 species